UGGAUCUGCCGUGACCACUGGUGCUGUAUGAGUCAUGGAUCAUAACAUAUAAGUCUGGGAGUCUGAGGUCCAC